rnacentral:sRNA from 12 species
CCUCUGGAGCGUUACACCAAAUGUUAGUAGCCAGUAUUACCGGCAAAAGCAGACGCUAAAGAACGAGGAA